AUUGAACGCUGGCGGCAUGCUUUACACAUGCAAGUCGAACGGUAACAGGGAGCUUGCUCCGCUGACGAGUGGCGAACGGGUGAGUAAUGCGUCGGAACGUGCCGAGUAGUGGGGGAUAACGCAGCGAAAGUUGUGCUAAUACCGCAUACGUACUGAGGUAGAAAGUGGGGGACCUUCGGGCCUCACGCUAUUCGAGCGGCCGACGUCUGAUUAGCUAGUAGGUGAGGUAAAGGCUCACCUAGGCGACGAUCAGUAGCGGGUCUGAGAGGAUGAGCCGCCACACUGGGACGGAGACACGGCCCAGACUCCUACGGGAGGCAGCAGUGGGGAAUUUUGGACAAUGGGCGAAAGCCUGAUCCAGCCAUGCCGCGUGUCUGAAGAAGGCCUUCGGGUUGUAAAGGACUUUUGUCGGGGAGGAAAUCCCCAGCGCUAAUACCGCUGGGGGAUGACAGUACCUGAAGAAUAAGCACCGGCUAACUACGUGCCAGCCGCCGCGGUAAAUC
rnacentral:rRNA from 1 species